UGAGCAUCAGUGAUGAUAUAUGACAAUUGUUAUCCUUGCACUUUGAUUACCGGUGAAGAAAACUAUGGGGAUUGACUCUGAGAUGCUG